UUGGUUUGAAAAAGUUUUGGCUUUGAUCGGCAACUGGGAGUCUACUACUUUAGGAGCAGGUAAUGCUAGUGAAGAUGAUCCCCACAAGUGUUAGCCAAAUGAUCUAGUCGUCAACUUGCUUCACAAUAACACACUAGCUUUCAUGAACAAAUUUGACCUAUUGUAAAUAAAGGAUACUUUGUUUGUAGUACUUUUGGUCUUCAGUGGAAAAAGCCUUUGUGAUCAAGUUCCUUUU